rnacentral:tRNA from 1 species
GGGGUUGUGGCUCAGCGGAAGAGGGUUCACCUAGCACGUGCGAGGCCCUGGGUUUGAUCCUCAGCACCACA